rnacentral:rRNA from 1 species
CAGCAGCCGCGGUAAUUCCGGCGGCCCGAGUGGCGGUCACUAUUAUUGGGCUUAAAGCGUCCGUAGCCGGGUUGGGAAGUCCUCCGGGAAAUCUGGCCGCUUAACGGUCAGAAUGCCGGAGGAUACUCCCAGCCUAGGGAGCGGGCGAGGCCGAGGGUAUUCCCGGAGUAGGGGUGGAAUCCUAUAAUCCCGGGAGGACCACCGGUGGCGAAGGCGCUCGGCUGGAACGCGUCCGACGGUGAGGGACGAAGGCCAGGGGAGCAAACCGGAUUAGAUACCCGGGUAGUCCUGGCGGUAAACGAUGCGGACUUUGUGUCGGACAAGCUAUGAGCUUGUCCGGUGCCGGAGGGAAACCGUUAAGUCCGCCGCCUGGGGAGUACGGCCGCAAGGCUGAAACUUAAAGGAAUUGGCGGG